GACGAACGCUGGCGGCGUGCCUAAUACAUGCAAGUUGAGCGCUGAAGGUUGGUACUUGUACCAAAUGGAUGAGCAGCGAACGGGUGAGUAACGCGUGGGGAAUCUGCCUUUGAGCGGGGGACAACAUUUGGAAACGAAUGCUAAUACCGCAUAAAAACUUUAAACACAAGUUUUAAGUUUGAAAGAUGCAAUUGCAUCACUCAAAGAUGAUCCCGCGUUGUAUUAGCUAGUGGGUGAGGUAAAGGCUCACCAAGGCGAUGAUACAUAGCCGACCUGAGAGGGUGAUCGGCCACAUUGGGACUGGGACACGGCCCAAACUCCUACGGGAGGCAGCAGUAGGGAAUCUUCGGCAAUGGACGAAAGUCUGACCGAGCAACGCCGCGUGAGUGAAGAAGGUUUUCGGAUCGUAAAACUCUGUUGGUAGAGAAGAACGUUGGUGAGAGUGGAAAGCUCAUCAAGUGACGGUAACUACCCAGAAAGGGACGGCUAACUACGUG
rnacentral:rRNA from 1 species